rnacentral:lncRNA from 1 species
AUGACAAGCGUGAUUACCGUUGAACUGAAGCGGCGUGGACAGUUUCAUCAGAGCCACGUCGUAGUCGAGGCCUUUGGGUCGGUACCUGGAGUGGUAAAUGAUCCGCUCCACGGCCACGGACUGGGCGCCGUGGACGGGCUGCUCUGUCACGCCCACGUGGACCGCCCACAUGGCCGGGUCAGAGAAGCUUCCGGAGCAGGAAGAGAGGUUAAACACACACACUCACACACUCUCACUCUCACACACACUCACACACUCUCACACUCACACACACACACACACACACACACACUCACACACUCUCACACACACUCACACACUCUCACUCUCACACACACUCACACCCACACACACUCACACACACCCACACACUCACUCACACUCACACACACCCACACACUCACUCACACUCACACACACCCACACUCACACUCACACUCACACACUCACCCACACACACACUCACUCACACACACUCACACACACACACCCACUCACACUCACUCACACUCACACACACCCACACACACUCACACACACCCACACACACACUCACACACACACACCCACUCACACUCACUCACACUCACACACACCCACACACACACUCACACACACCCGCACACACACUCACACACACACACCCACUCACACUCACACACACUCACACACACCCACACACACACACACCCACUCACACUCACUCACACUCACACACACCCACACACACACACCCACACUCACACACACACACACGCUCACACCCACACUCACACACACUCACACACACACACACACACACUCACACCCACUCACACUCACACACACCCACACCCACACACACCCACACACACUCACACACACGCACACACACACUCACACACACACACCCACACACACUCACUCACACUCACACACACCCACACACACACACACCCACUCACACACACACACACACACACCCACUCACACUCACACACGCACACACCCACCCACACACACUCACUCACACUCACACACACCCACACACACACCCACCCACACUCACACACACCCACACACACACCCACUCACACUCACUCACACUCACACACACUCACACACACCCACACACACACACACACUCACACACACCCACACACACACACCCACUCACACUCACUCACACUCACACACACUCACACACCCACCCACUCACACUCACUCACACUCACACACCCACCCACACACACUCACUCACACUCACACACCCACCCACACACACUCACUCACACCCACACACACCCACCCACACACACUCACUCACACUCACACACCCACCCACACACACCCACACUCACACACUCACACACGCUCACACCCACACACACUCACUCACACUCACACACACGCACACACACACACUCACACACACACACCCACUCACACUCACUCACACUCACACACACCCACACACACACACCCACUCACACACACACACACACACACCCACUCACACUCACACACGCACACACCCACCCACACACACUCACUCACACACACCCACACACACACCCACCCACACUCACACUCACACACACCCACACACACACCCACUCACACUCACUCACACUCACACACACUCACACACACCCACACACACACACACACUCACACACACCCACACACACACACCCACUCACACUCACUCACACUCACACACACACACACACCCACCCACACUCACACUCACACACACCCACACACACACCCACUCACACUCACUCACACUCACACACACUCACACACACCCACACACACACACACACUCACACACACCCACACACUCACUCACACUCACACACACCCACACACACCCACCCACACACACUCACACACACCCACACUCACACUGACACACACACGCACACACACUCUCACCCGUAG